UGACCUGCGGAGGGAUCAUUGCUGGAACGCGCCCCAGGCGCACCCAGAAACCCUUUGUGAACUUAUACCUUACUGUUGCCUCGGCGCUAGCUGGUCCUUCGGGGCCCCUCACCCCCGGGUGUUGAGACAGCCCGCCGGCGGCCAACCCAACUCUUGUUUUUACACUGAAACUCUGAGAAUAAAACAUAAAUGAAUCAAAACUUUCAACAACGGAUCUCUUGGUUCUGGCAUCGAUGAAGAACGCAGCGAAAUGCGAUAAGUAAUGUGAAUUGCAGAAUUCAGUGAAUCAUCGAAUCUUUGAACGCACAUUGCGCCCUCUGGUAUUCCGGAGGGCAUGCCUGUUCGAGCGUCAUUUCAACCCUCAAGCCUGGCUUGGUGAUGGGGCACUGCUUCUUACCCAAGGAGCAGGCCCUGAAAUUCAGUGGCGAGCUCGCCAGGACCCCGAGCGCAGUAGUUAAACCCUCGCUCUGGAAGGCCCUGGCGGUGCCCUGCCGUUAAACCCCCAACUUCUGAAAAUUUGACCUCGGAUCAGGUAGGAAUACCCGCUGAACUUAAGCAUAUCAAUA
rnacentral:sRNA from 1 species